rnacentral:lncRNA from 1 species
CGUCGCCGUGCACGUGGCGCACAUAGGUGGCGCACACGGCGCGAAAGAGCACGGUGUCGAUUUGCGGGUGGGCGUCGACAAUGCGCUGCGUCUCUUCGCCCAGCAUGGCGUCGGUCCAAUGGUUAAAGGUGUCGAGCGCGCGCCCGAGGGCGUCUUCGUAGGCGCGUCCACUAAAGCCCUUGCGCACGAGGGCCUCGUCGACCAGCGCCAGGCACUCGUGCGCCGCGCGCUCCAUGCACUGCAAGAGCGUGAGCGGACCCUCUUCGUGAAAGAUGCCGCCGUGGAGACCGCCGGCAUGGAUGGCCUUCAUAAACAUGGCAUAGUAAGAGGCCGACGCUCCGUCGGUCGGCGCCGCCGCCGUUGCCGCGGCAUCUGUGCGCGUACCAUGUCGGUCGCCGUCGCCCGGAAGCAAUGGCAUGGCAAGCCCGCGCGCCUCCAUGCGUAGGCGGUUUUCCUUGGGGUUGCGCCCCUUUUCGCGUGUCUGUCACCAAAGCGCGCGCGUGUUGAUUCGCUCGGCACGCGCGCACAGCCUUCGGCCGCCCUUUUUUCUCCUCUAUUCCUUCUCGCCUCUUUUUUACCCUCGACCUUUUUCUUCUUGAUUUGGGCGUCGCGACCGCGUGUGUGUCUUUCUUCCUGUCAGACGGGAGCGCCGUCUCUCUGCCCUCUUUCCUCCACUUUGAGAGGGGGGCACAAAAGGCCACCGUCGGGGCUCGACGCCCUCUCUUUCUUUCAAAUAAGAAAAGACAGACGACACCCAGCCGGGCACUCGCUCGAUGACGAAAAAACACACAAUAAAUAAACCAGGCGCAACGAGCGCGAGGCCCAGUAA